rnacentral:rRNA from 1 species
UACGGGGGGGGCAAGCGUUGUUCGGAAUUACUGGGCGUAAAGGGCUCGUAGGCGGCCUGUUGCGUCGGUUGUGAAAGCCCGGGGCUUAACCCCGGGUCUGCAGUCGAUACGGGCAGGCUAGAGUUCGGUAGGGGAGAUCGGAAUUCCUGGUGUAGCGGUGAAAUGCGCAGAUAUCAGGAGGAACACCGGUGGCGAAGGCGGGUCUCUGGGCCGAUACUGACGCUGAGGAGCGAAAGCGUGGGGAGCAAACAGG